AUCGAAUUAAAACUUUAAAAUCUAGAAUUGUCUCUUAUUAAUGAUUCGGAAAUAGAAAAAACUUGAUUAUGUUAUUAUUCUUCGUUGGUUUUUUUUAAUGGAAAACACUUUGCAAGAAAUAAUAACAAGAAAUAAUGGAAAUUUUAUAACGAAUUUAAUAAAAUGUUUUUAUCAUUAUAUAAUAUAUAAAGAAGUAAUGGCAAGAAAAAGUUAUAUACAACCUCAACUCAUAUGGGACUACCCCCUGAAUUUAAGCAUCUUAAUUAGGGGAGGAAAAGAAACUAAAAAGGAUUUUCUUAGUAGCGGCGAUCGAAAAGAAAACAGUUCAGCACUUAGUCACUUUGUCUAUAUAGCAAAUGUGAGAUGCAGUGUAUGGAGCGUCAAUAUUCUAGUAUGAGAAAUUAACGAUUUAAGUCCUUCUUAAAUGAGGCAAUUUACCCAUAGAGGGUGCCAGGCCGUAUAACGUUAAUGAUUACUAGAUGAUGUUUCCAAAGAGUCGUGUUGCUUGAUAGUGCAGCACUAAGUGGGUGGUAAAAUCCAUCUUAAACUAAAUAUAACCAUGAGACCGAUAGUAAACAAGUACCGUGAGGGAAAGUUGAAAAGAACUCUGAAUAGAGAGUUAAACAGUUCGUGAAACUGCUUAGAGGUUAAGCCCGAUGUUCCGUUAUGGAAAAUUCAUCAUUAAAAUUCUAAUAUUUAAAUAAUAUUAUGAGGAUAGUGUGCAUUUUUUCCAUAUAAGGGCAUUGUAAUCUAUUAGCAUAUACCAAAUAAUUAUCAUUGAUUUUUGUGUUUAUUAUAUGCACUUGUAUGAUUAACAAUGCGAAAGAUUCAGGAUACCUUCGGGACCCGUCUUGAAACACGGACUAAGAAGUCUAACAUAUGUGCAAGUUAUAUUGGGAUAUAAACCUAAUAGCGUAAUUAACUUGACUAAUAAUGGGAUUAGUUUUUUAACUAUUUAUAGCUAAUUAACACAAUCCCGGGGCCUUCUAUAUAGUUAUGUAUAAUGUAUAUUUAUAUUAUUUAUGCCUCUAACUGGAACGUACCUUGAGCAUAUAUGCUGUAACCCGAAAGAUGGUGAACUAUACUUGAUCAGGUUGAAGUCAGGGGAAACCCUGAUGGAAGACCGAAACAGUUCUGACGUGCAAAUCGAUUGUCAGAAUUGAGUAUAGGGGCGAAAGACCAAUCGAACCAUCUAGUAGCUGGUUCCUUCCAGAGUUUCCUUCAGGAUAGCUGGUGCAUUUUAAUAUUAUAUAAAAUAAUCUUAUCUGGUAAAGCGAAUGAUUAGAGGCCUUAGGGUCGAAACGAUCUUAACCUAUUCUCAAACUUUAAAUGGGUAAGAACCUUAACUUUCUUGAUAUGAAGUUCAAGGUUAUGAUAUAAUGUGCCCAGUGGGCCACUUUUGGUAAGCAGAACUGGCGCUGUGGGAUGAACCAAACGUAAUGUUACGGUGCCCAAUUAACAUUAACAUUAUACAUUACCGUAGAUGAUUUAUAUUACUUGUGAUAUAAAUUUUGAAACUUUAGUGAGUAGGAAGGUACAAUGGUAUGCGUAGAAGUGUUUGGCGUAAGCCUUCAUGAAGCUGCCAUUGGUACAGAUCUUGGUGGUAGUAGCAAAUAAUCGAAUGAGACCUUGGAGGACUGAAGUGGAGAAGGGUUUCGUGUGAACAGUGUUUGAUCACGAGUUAGUCGGUCUUAAGCUCAAGGCGAAAGCCGAAAAUUUUCAAGUAAAACAAAAAUGCCAAAUUAUAUAAACAAAGCGAAAAUAAUACACUUGAAUAAUUUUGAACGAAAGGGAAUAUGGUUCCAAUUCCGUAACCUGUUGAGUAUCCGUUUGUUAUUAAAUAUGGGCCUCGUGCUCAUCCUGGCAACCGGAACGAUCAUAAAGAAGCCGUCGAGAGAUAUCGGAAGAGUUUUCUUUUCUGUUUUAUAUCCGUACUACCGUGGAAGUCUUUAGCAGAGAGAUAUGGUAGAUGGGCUAGAAGAGCAUGACUGUUGUCGAUAUUUUCUCCUCGGACCUUGAAAAUGUAUGGUGGGGACACGCAAACUUCUCAACAGGCUGUACCAAUAUCCGCAGCUGGUCUCCAAGGUGAAGAGUCUCUAGUCGAUAGAAUAAUGUAGGUAAGGGAAGUCGG
rnacentral:rRNA from 1 species